UACGGGGGGGGCAAGCGUUGUUCGGAAUUACUGGGCGUAAAGGGCUCGUAGGCGGCCAACUAAGUCAUACGUGAAAUCCCUCGGCUUAACCGGGGAACUGCGUCUGAUACUGGAUGGCUUGAGUUCGGGAGAGGGAUGCGGAAUUCCAGGUGUAGCGGUGAAAUGCGUAGAUAUUGGGAGGAACACCAGUGGCGAAGGCGGCUCACUGGACCGGUACUGACGCUGAAGCGCGAAAGCGUGGGGAGCAAACGGG
rnacentral:rRNA from 1 species